rnacentral:lncRNA from 1 species
AUACACCAUGGAAUACUACACAGCCAUAAAAAUCAAUGAGUUUGUGUCCUUUGUAGGGACAUGGAUGAAUCUGGAAAUCAUCAUUCUCAGCUAACUGACACAAGAACAGAAAAUCAAACACUGCAUGUUCUCACUCAUAGGCGGGUGUUGAACAAUGAGAACACAUGGACACAGGAAAGGGAGCAUCACACACUGGGGUGUAUUGGGGGAAGUUAGGGGAGGGACAGCAGUGGGUGGGGAGUUUGGGGAGGGAUAACAUGGGGAGAAAUGCCAGAUAUAGGUAAUGGGGGAGUGGAGGCAGCAAACCACCUUGUCGUGUAUGUACCUAUGCAACAAUCCUGCAUGAUCUGCACAUGUACCCCAGAACGUAAAGUACAAUAAAAAAAAUGUAUCUAUUGGGAUUCAUCAUCAAAGCAUAUGAACAUUUUGACACAUAUGACUAAUUAAAAAUAUUUCUUAUUAGCAUUAUAGUAAAAGAAAAUACACUUAAAAAAAAAGAUGUUCUGUUCUUUGUGGGAAAGUCCUAAUUCAUCACAUGCUAUCUCAAUUCAAGACCUUUCAGUUCCACAUCUUCUUUAAGUGUUCCCAAUACAUCAUUUUUUUUAAAUAUGAGAAUUUUUAAAUUUAGUCUCAUGACACUUUUCCUUUGAAUCUCUUGGCUUCAGACAUUUAGGAAUUUCCAAACAGAAAUUGCUGAUAAAAUCCACCACAGAUGUGAAGAGACUGUAAAAUUUCUGAACAAGAAAUACCUUUUCCAUGAGCUUUUGUUGUGUCGUAUACUGAAUACUCCAGGCCACAAAGGCUAGCUUUAUUUUGCUUUCUGUUUUAAAUCCAGAAUGGGGAAAGAAUAUGUCAGUGCCUGCCAUAGCCACGAUAAAAUUAAUAAUUUUUUUCAGCUCUCCAAGACAGUUACAAAGCAAGUUGAAGGUGAAGAAUUGUGGUGACAAUGAUAUAAAGUUCAAAUCCAAAAUAACAGAUGGGAUCAGGCUGAUAUAUAUCCUGAAGAUACAGCAAAGGCCUACACAGUUACCUGGACCACCUCAUGACCCAGGCAACUGA